AAGUUACGAUAGGCUAAUUAAGGGCGUAUGGGGAAUGCCUAGGCUCUCAGAGGCGAAGAAGGACGUGAUAAGCUGCGAAAAGUUACGGGGAAUGGCACACACAUUUUGAUCCGUAAAUAUCCGAAUGGGGCAACCUGAUUAUUUGAAGAAUAAUCAUCCAUCUUGUAUGGAAGCAAACCCGGGGAACUGAAACAUCUAAGUACCCGGAGGAAGAGAAAACAAUAGUGAUUCCGCUAGUAGUGGCGAGCGAACGCGGAAUAGCCCAAACCUAAGUUGUUACGGCAAUUUAGGGGUUGUAGGACCACAAUAUUUAUUGCUCAAUGAAUUAGAAUCUGUUGGAAAUCAGAACCAUAGAGGGUGAUAGUCCCGUAUAAGUAAAGAAAGUUAAUAAUAGUGGUAUCCUGAGUAGUACGGGGCACGGGAAACCUUGUAUGAAUCCGGCGGGACCAUCCGCCAAGGCUAAAUACUCCUGAGAGACCGAUAGUGAACUAGUACCGUGAGGAAAGGUGAAAAGAACCCUGAAUAAGGGAGUGAAAUAGAUCCUGAAACCAUACGCUUACAAGCGGUCGGAGCCCAUUAGGGUGACGGCGUGCCUUUUGCAUAAUGAGCCUACGAGUUAACGUUGCUAGCAAGGUUAAGUACUUAAGGUACGAAGCCGUAGCGAAAGCGAGUCUGAAUAGGGCGCUUUAGUUAGCAGUGUUAGACGCGAAACCGUGUGAUCUACCCAUGGGCAGGGUGAAGCUGUAGUAACAUACAGUGGAGGCCCGAACCCGUUGACGUUGAAAAGUCUUGGGAUGACCUGUGGGUAGGGGUGAAAGGCCAAUCAAACUCGGAAAUAGCUCGUACUCCCCGAAAUGCAUUUAGGUGCAGCGUUGUAUUAGUUUCAUAGAGGUAGAGCUACUGAUUGGAUGCGGGGCCUUCACCGGCUACCAAUUCCUGACAAACUCCGAAUGCUAUGAAAUGAUGUACAGCAGUGAGGGCAUGGGUGCUAAGGUCCAUGUCCGAGAGGGAAAGAACCCAGACCAUCAGCUAAGGUCCCAAAGUGUAUGCUAAGUUGAAUAAACGAGGUUUGACUGCCCAGACAGCUAGGAUGUUGGCUUGGAAGCAGCCAUUCAUUUAAAGAGUGCGUAACAGCUCACUAGUCGAGCGGUCGAGCAUGGAUAAUAAUCGGGCAUAAGCAUAUCACCGAAGCUAUGGCAUCGAAAGAUGGGUAGGGGAGCAUUGUAGCGACGUUGAAGGUAAACUGUGAGGUUUGCUGGAGUUUCUACAAAAGAAAAUGUAGGCAUAAGUAACGAUAAUGCGGGCGAGAAACCCGCACACCGAAAGACUAAGGUUUCCUCAGCUAUGCUAAUCAGCUGAGGGUUAGUCGGGACCUAACGCGAACCCGAAAGGGGUAGUGGAUGGACAACAGGUUAAUAUUCCUGUACCUGCUCUCAUUAAAAGUGACGGAUAGCCCAGAUAUCUACGUGGUGACGGAAGUCCACGUUGAGCAUAGCCUUCGGGCGAAGCGAAGAUAAGUAAGCUGUUCCAAGAAAAGCGAGAGAAGCAGCCCGUACCGUAAACCGACACAGGUAGUUGGGAUGAGUAUUCUAAGGUGCUCGAGAGAUUCAUGGCUAAGGAACUAGGCAAAAUCGACCCGUAACUUCGGGAGAAGGGUCGCCACGUUUCGACGUGGCCGCAGUGAAAAGAUCCAGGCGACUGUUUAUCAAAAACACAGGACUCUGCUAAAUCGAAAGAUGACGUAUAGGGUCUGACACCUGCCCGGUGCCGGAAGGUUAAGUGGAGUUGUUAGCUUCGGCAAAGCAAUCAAAUGAAGCCCCGGUAAACGGCGGCCGUAACUAUAACGGUCCUAAGGUA
rnacentral:rRNA from 1 species